rnacentral:rRNA from 1 species
GAUGAACGCUGGCGGCGUGCCUAAUACAUGCAAGUCGAGCGAACAGACGAGGAGCUUGCUCCUCUGACGUUAGCGGCGGACGGGUGAGUAACACGUGGAUAACCUACCUAUAAGACUGGGAUAACUUCGGGAAACCGGAGCUAAUACCGGAUAAUAUAUUGAACCGCAUGGUUCAAUAGUGAAAGACGGUUUUGCUGUCACUUAUAGAUGGAUCCGCGCCGCAUUAGCUAGUUGGUAAGGUAACGGCUUACCAAGGCGACGAUGCGUAGCCGACCUGAGAGGGUGAUCGGCCACCCUGGAACUGAAACACGGUCCAGACUCCUACGGGAGGCAGCAGUAGGGAAUCUUCCGCAAAGGGCGAAAGCCUGACGGAGCAACGCCGCGUGAGUGAUGAAGGUCUUCGGAUCGUAAAACUCUGUUAUUAGGGAAGAACAAAUGUGUAAGUAACUAUGCACGUCUUGACGGUACCUAAUCAGAAAGCCACGGCUAACUACGUG